rnacentral:lncRNA from 13 species
GCCCCCUCACCCAGCUAAUUUAUUUUCAUUUUUGAUAGAGAUGAGGUCUUGCCAUGGUGCCCAGGCUGGGCUUGAACUCCUGAUCUCAAGCAAUCCUCCCACCUAGCUUCUCAAAGUGCUGGCAUUACAGCUGUGAGCCACCACACCUGGCCAAAAUUCAUGCUUUUAAAGUUUACAGUUUGGUAGUUUUUCCUUCUGUGUGAACACAGAAUCAUGCAACCAUUAACACUAUUAAAUUCUAGAGCACGUUCAUUAUUCCAAAAGAAAUCCCAUACACAUCAGUAAUCACUCUCCAUUCUUCUCUUUCCCACCCCCAGCCCCUGGGAAACACUAAUUUACCUUCUGCUUCUAUAGAUUUGCCUCUUCUAGACAUUUCAUAUAGAUUGAAUUAUGUAACAUGUAUCCUUUAAUGUCUGGCUUCUUUCACUUGGCAUAAUGUUUCCAACAUUCAUCCACCUUGUAGCAUGUAUCAGUGCCAGUUUAUUAUGCCUAAUCUGAAAUCUAAGAUGCUUCAAAAUCUGACCUUUUUUUUAAUACAUGGACACGUAUGUUUAUUGCAGCAUGAUUUAGAAUAGCAAAGACUUUAAACCAAUUCCAAUGCCCACCAAUGAUAGGCUGGACAAAGAAAAUGUGACACAUACACUUCAUGGAAUGACUAUGCAGCCAUAAAAAACAAUGAGUUCGUGUCUUUUGCAGGAACAUGGAUGAACCUGGAAACCAUCAUUCUCAGCAAACUGGCACAAGAACAGAAAAUCAAACACCGAAUGUUCUCACUCAUAGAUUGUACCCCGCGAGGAUACUGCACGGAGUGAAUAAGGCUUCAGUCCAACAUGAAGAAUAUCCUCCUUAGAGAUUUGGGCAAACAUACAUGGAGGAUGCCAUGUGAAGGUAAGGACAGAUGGAGUGAUACUGCAAGCUAAGGAACCUCAGAUGUCCAUUGGGUAGCUAUUUCUAAUGCAUAUAGAUAAGCACAUACAUGUAGGCCCCCAUUUUACAUAAAUGGUACCAUCUGGCACAAUCUGUAUUUUUUUCCUUGAAAUUACAGCUUUAAGAUCUUGCCAUGGCCAUACUUAUAAUACCACCUUAUUCUUUCCAGGAGCUAUAUAGUCCCCCUUCCCUCCCCUCCCCUCCCC